GUUUAUGGCCAUGCCACCCUGAAUGUGCCCUAUCUUGUCUGAUCUCAGAAGCUAAGCAGGGUUGGGCCUGGUUAGUAUUUAGAUGGCAGACCACCUAGGAAUACCAGGUGCUAUAGGUA
rnacentral:rRNA from 1 species